rnacentral:piRNA from 1 species
UAAAAAUGACAAUUAAAAAAA